rnacentral:rRNA from 1 species
AUCCUGGCUCAAAUUGAACGCUGGCGGCAGGCCUAACACAUGCAAGUNGAGCGGUAGCACAGAGAGCUUGCUCUCGGGUGACGAGCGGCGGACGGGUGAGUAAUGUCUGGNAAACUGCCUGAUGGAGGGGGAUAACUACUGGAAACGGUAGCUAAUACCGCAUAACGUCGCAAGACCAAAGUGGGGGACCUUCGGGCCUCAUGCCAUCAGAUGUGCCCAGAUGGGAUUAGCUGGUAGGUGGGGUAACGGCUCACCUAGGCGACGAUCCCUAGCUGGUCUGANAGGAUGACCAGCCACACUGGAACUGAGACACGGUCCAGACUCCUACGGGAGGCAGCAGUGGGAAUAUUGCACAAUGGGCGCAAGCCUGAUGCAGCCAUGCCGCGUGUGUGAAGAAGGCCUUCGGGUUGUAAAGCACUUUCAGCGGGGAGGAAGGCGGUGAGGUUAAUAACCUCAUCGAUUGACGUUACCCGCAGAAGAAGCACCGGCUAACUCCGUGCCAGCAGCCGCGGUAAUACGGAGGGUGCAAGCGUUAAUCGGAAUUACUGGGCGUAAAGCGCACGCAGGCGGUCUGUCAAGUCGGAUGUGAAAUCCCCGGGCUCAACCUGGGAACUGCAUUCGAAACUGGCAGGCUAGAGUCUUGUAGAGGGGGGUAGAAUUCCAGGUGUAGCGGUGAAAUGCGUAGAGAUCUGGAGGAAUACCGGUGGCGAAGGCGGCCCCCUGGACAAAGACUGACGCUCAGGUGCGAAAGCGUGGGGAGCAAACAGGAUUAGAUACCCUGGUAGUCCACGCUGUAAACGAUGUCGAUUUGGAGGUUGUGCCCUUGAGGCGUGGCUUCCGGAGCUAACGCGUUAAAUCGACCGCCUGGGGAGUACGGCCGCAAGGUUAAAACUCAAAUGAAUUGACGGGGGCCCGCACAAGCGGUGGAGCAUGUGGUUUAAUUCGAUGCAACGCGAAGAACCUUACCUGGUCUUGACAUCCACAGAACUUUGCAGAGAUGGAUUGGUGCCUUCGGGAACUGUGAGACAGGUGCUGCAUGGCUGUCGUCAGCUCGUGUUGUGAAAUGUUGGGUUAAGUCCCGCAACGAGCGCAACCCUUAUCCUUUGUUGCCAGCGGUUCGGCCGGGAACUCAAAGGAGACUGCCAGUGAUAAACUGGAGGAAGGUGGGGAUGACGUCAAGUCAUCAUGGCCCUUACGACCAGGGCUACACACGUGCUACAAUGGCAUAUACAAAGAGAAGCGACCUCGCGAGAGCAAGCGGACCUCAUAAAGUAUGUCGUAGUCCGGAUUGGAGUCUGCAACUCGACUCCAUGAAGUCGGAAUCGCUAGUAAUCGUAGAUCAGAAUGCUACGGUGAAUACGUUCCCGGGCCUUGUACACACCGCCCGUCACACCAUGGGAGUGGGUUGCAAAAGAAGUAGGUAGCUUAACCUUCGGGAGGGCGCUUACCACUUUGUGAUUCAUGACUGGGGUGAAGUCGUAACAAGGUAACCGUAGGGGAACCUGCGGCUGGAUCACCUCCUU